rnacentral:lncRNA from 1 species
GGACGUAGGAACAUACAUAUUUACUCAGAUCCUGGAGUAAAAAUCUCAGUUUUCCUUCCUACCUGUUCUCUACUACUUCCAUUGAGACCUGUUCCUCUACCUUUAUUUCCAGAAAGCUCCUAACAGUUACGCUGGUGGGCCCCAGUGCACCUAACUCCUAGUAAACUGUAAUAUAAGAGUAGUUAGUGCACUAGUGGCCUUGGAUGGAGGGAAACAGACAGACUGGAAGGACAGGGGAGACAAACCACUGCUGUCGUGAAUGAGAACAAUCUACAUGUAUUAACUUUGCCUUUUUCUCUGUCAGCUUUCCAUAGAGUCCGUGAAGAGCGGCCUCAUGUUUUAAAAGCUGGGACCUAUGUUACCCACAAGGGUAUACAGCACACUGUCUAUAACCCACCGUGUGUUGAGAGGGUGUUUGUGUUCCAGUCUGACUGAUACCACAGUGAAAUGGAUAUACACCCGUUUGCACAAAUGUAUAAGUUACAGGGACAGAGAGGAGGAGAAAGGCCGUGGGAGAAGAGGAAGCAGCCAUGAGAGGAGAUGGACCGUGAAGAAGUCUAGACUAAGAGACAUAACCACAAAACUCUAAGACAUCGCUGGAAAGGACCUCACACCAUGAUCCUGACAACGCCUAUGACAGACGGGAUCAGGAUAUGGACAUGCCACUCCCACCUUAAGCCUGCCAGAAGAGAGACGAUCCAGCAGUCAAGGUUCCAUCCGAGGAAACUUCCAGGCGAAUAGCCACAAGAAUGAUAGA